CGCAAGCCUGACGGAGCAACGCCGCGUGAGGGACGAAGGCCUCUGGGCUGUAAACCUCUUUUAUCAAGGAAGAAGAUCUGACAGUACUUGAUGAAUAAGCCACGGCUAAUUCCGUGCCAGCAGCCGCGGUAAUACGGGAGUGGCAAGCGUUAUCCGGAAUUAUUGGGCGUAAAGCGUCCGCAGGCGGCUCUUCAAGUCUGCUGUUAAAAAGUGGAGCUUAACUCCAUCAUGGCAGUGGAAACUGUUGAGCUUGAGUGUGGUAGGGGCAGAGGGAAUUCUCGGUGUAGCGGUGAAAUGCGUAGAUAUCGGGAAGAACACCAGUGGCGAAGGCGCUUUGCUGGGCCAUUACUGACGCUCAUGGACGAAAGCCAGGGGAGCG
rnacentral:rRNA from 1 species